rnacentral:rRNA from 1 species
UACGUAGGGUGCAAGCGUUAAUCGGGAUUACUGGGCGUAAAGCGUGCGCAGGCGGUUUUGUAAGUCUGUCGUGAAAGCCCCGGGCUCAACCUGGGAAUUGCGAUGGAGACUGCAAGGCUUGAAUCUGGCAGAGGGGGGUAGAAUUCCACGUGUAGCAGUGAAAUGCGUAGAGAUGUGGAGGAACACCGAUGGCGAAGGCAGCCCCCUGGGUCAAGAUUGACGCUCAUGCACGAAAGCGUGGGGAGCAAACAGG